AUUGAACGCUGGCGGCAGGCUUAACACAUGCAAGUCGAGCGGAGAUGAGGUGCUUGCACCUUAUCUUAGCGGCGGACGGGUGAGUAAUGCUUAGGAAUCUGCCUAUUAGUGGGGGACAACAUUCCGAAAGGAAUGCUAAUACCGCAUACGUCCUACGGGAGAAAGCAGGGGAACUUCGGACCUUGCGCUAAUAGAUGAGCCUAAGUCGGAUUAGCUAGUUGGUGGGAUAAAGGCCUACCAAGGCGACGAUCUGUAGCGGGUCUGAGAGGAUGAUCCGCCACACUGGGACUGAGACACGGCCCAGACUCCUACGGGAGGCAGCAGUGGGGAAUAUUGGACAAUGGGGGGAACCCUGAUCCAGCCAUGCCGCGUGUGUGAAGAAGGCCUUAUGGUUGUAAAGCACUUUAAGCGAGGAGGAGGCUACUGAGACUAAUACUCUUGGAUAGUGGACGUUACUCGCAGAAUAAGCACCGGCUAACUCUGUGCCAGCCGCCGCCGUAAAAC
rnacentral:rRNA from 1 species